GACUGUUGUCUCAGAACUGCUUUCCUGUUAUGCAUCUGUUACAGCAGUAGUGCCUGAACCAUUUGUGAUAUCUGUGAGGCUUCUCACACUGUUUGGAAAGAGGACCUGACUGGCUAUAUUCUGCCAGAUCAGAACAUCAGUGCCAGCAAGAGAAAACUUCCUCUCUAUCAUUCAUCAUCUUGAUAUUCCACUCAUGCUGACAGUGAGAGGAUACAAAUGAUUUUUAGAGCUCCACGAGGAUAAAAACCUGCAGGGAUUAUUAUACUCUUUCUGAGGUGGAAAAUGCUUUGCUUUGGUAUCUGGCUAAUAAAUAAUUAUUUUGUUUCUAA